rnacentral:rRNA from 1 species
UACGAAGGGGGGCUAGCGUUGCUCGGAAUUACUGGGCGUAAAGGGCGCGUAGGCGGUCUGCUAAGUUGGAUGUGAAAACUCUGGGCUUAACCCAGAGCCUGCAUUCAAUACUGACAGGCUAGAGUUCUGGAGGGGAUAGCGGAAUUCCUGGUGUAGCGGUGAAAUGCGUAGAUAUCAGGAGGAACACCGGUGGCGAAGGCGGCUAUCGUGGACAGAGUCUGACGCUGAGGCGCGAAAGCUAGGGGAGCAAACAGG